UGGGGAAUUUUGGACAAUGGGCGCAAGCCUGAUCCAGCCAUGCCGCGUGAGUGAAGAAGGCCCUCGGGUUGUAAAGCUCUUUUGUCCGGAAAGAAAAGCUUCGGGUUAAUACCCCGGGGUUCUGACGGUACCGGAAGAAUAAGCACCGGCUAACUUCGUGCCAGCAGCCGCGGUAAUACGACGGGUGCAAGCGUUACUCGGAAUUACUGGGCGUAAAGCGUGCGUAGGUGGUUGUUUAAGUCUGAUGUGAAAGCCCUGGGCUCAAGCUGGGAAUGGCAUUGGAAACUGGGGAGCUAGAGUGCGGUAGAGGGUAGUGGAAUUCCCGGUGUAGCAGUGAAAUGCGUAGAGAUCGGGAGGAACAUCUGUGGCGAAGGCGACUGCCUGGACCAGCACUGACACUGAGGCACGAAAGCGUG
rnacentral:rRNA from 1 species